AUACGGAGGGUGCAAGCGUUACUCGGAAUCACAGGGCGUAAAGCGCGCGUAGGCGGUUUGUUAAGUCGGAUGUGAAAUCCCCGGGCUCAACCUGGGAACUGCAUUCGAAACUGGCGAGCUAGAGUAUGGUAGAGGAUAGUGGAAUUCCGGGUGUAGCGGUGAAAUGCGUAGAUAUCCGGAGGAACAUCAGUGGCGAAGGCGGCUAUCUGGACCAAUACUGACGCUGAGGUGCGAAAGCGUGGGGAGCAAACAGGAUUAGAAACCCCAGUAGUCC
rnacentral:rRNA from 1 species